UGGGGAAUAUUGCACAAUGGGCGAAAGCCUGAUGCAGCAACGCCGCGUGAGUGAUGAAGGUCUUCGGAUUGUAAAGCUCUGUCUUUUGGGACGAUAAUGACGGUACCAAAGGAGGAAGCCACGGCUAACUACGUGCCAGCAGCCGCGGUAAUACGUAGGUGGCGAGCGUUGUCCGGAUUUACUGGGCGUAAAGGGUGCGUAGGCGGAUGUUUAAGUGAGAUGUGAAAUACCCGGGCUUAACUUGGGUGCUGCAUUUCAAACUGGAUAUCUAGAGUGCAGGAGAGGAGAAUGGAAUUCCCAGUGUAGCGGUGAAAUGCGUAGAGAUUAGGAAGAACACCAGUGGCGAAGGCGAUUCUCUGGACUGUAACUGACGCUGAGGCACGAAAGCGUGGGUAGCAAACAGGAUUAGAUACCCUGGUAGUCCACGCCGUAAACGAUGAGUACUAGGUGUAGGAGGUAUCGACCCCUUCUGUGCCGCAGUAAACACAUUAAGUACUCCGCCUGGGAAGUACGAUCGCAAGAUUAAAAC
rnacentral:rRNA from 1 species